GAGGAUGGGUGCAAAUUGAAAAUGAGCGAGUAAAUAACAACAUAGAUGAGCCCAAAAACCCACUUUAACAAAAUCCUAAUUAGUUAAUUAAUUAAUUAAAACUAAAUUAAAUAAAUAAACUAACAAAAAAAUGUGGGGUGAGGCGCCCCACCUUUGAAAAAUAAGAAGGAAAAAAACAAGUCAUCCUAUCAUAUGGUGACAAGUGGUGGUGAAUUUAAAAAAACAAAAUGAAAAAAAAAACUACUUAAAUGGAAUAAAGGAAAGAAAAGAAGAAAAUAAAAC
rnacentral:lncRNA from 1 species